UACGUAGGGUGCAAGCGUUAAUCGGAAUUACUGGGCGUAAAGCGUGCGCAGGCGGCUUUGCAAGACAGAUGUGAAAUCCCCAGGCUCAACCUGGGAACUGCGUCUGAUACUGGAUGGCUUGAAUCCGGGAGAGGGAUGCAGAAUUCCAGGUGUAGCGGUGAAAUGCGUAGAUAUCUGGAGGAAUACCGGUGGCGAAGGCGGCAUCCUGGACCGGCAUUGACGCUGAGGAGCGAAAGCUAGGGGAGCAAACGGG
rnacentral:rRNA from 1 species